AGGAUAAACGCUGGCGGCGUGCCUAACACAUGCAAGUCGAACGCGCUUUCGGGCUUCGGUGCGAGAGCGAGUGGCGGACGGGUGAGUAACACAUGGGUACCUACCUUGGAGUGAGGGAUACCGGCGAGAAAUCGCCGACAAUACCGCAUAGGCUUCUUCACAAGGGAAGCAAAGUGACGCGAGUCACGCUGUGAGAUGGGCCUGUGGCCGAUUAGCUAGUUGGGGGGUAACGGCUUCCCAAGGCGACGAUCGGUAGCUGGUCUGAGAGGACGAUCAGCCACACUGGGAUUGAGAACGGCCCAGACUCCUACGGGGGGCAGCAGUGAGGAAUUUUCCGCAAUGGAGGCAACUCUGACGGAGCAACGCCGCGUGCAGGAGGAAGGUUUUCGGAUCGUAAACUGCUUUUCGUCGGGACGAGCAAGGACGGUACCCGAGGAAGAAGCCCCGGCUAACUACGUGCCAGCAGCCGC
rnacentral:rRNA from 1 species